UACAGAGGUCUCAAGCGUUGUUCGGAUUCAUUGGGCGUAAAGCGCGCGUAGGCGGCUACUUAAGUCGGAUGUGAAAGCCCUUGGCUCAACUGAGGAAGUGCACCCGAAACUGAGUGGCUUGAGUACUAAAGAGGGUCGCGGAAUUCCCGGUGUAGAGGUGAAAUUCGUAGAUAUCGGGAGGAACACCGGUGGCGAAGGCGGCGACCUGGGUAGAUACUGACGCUGAGGCGCGAAAGCGUGGGGAGCAAACAGGG
rnacentral:rRNA from 1 species